rnacentral:rRNA from 1 species
GACGAACGCUGGCGGCGUGCCUAAUACAUGCCAGUAGAACGCACAGUUUAUACCGUAGCUUGCUACACCAUAGACUGUGAGUUGCGAACGGGUGAGUAACGCGUAGGUAACCUGCCUGGUAGCGGGGGAUAACUAUUGGAAACGAUAGCUAAUACCGCAUAAUAUUAAUUAUUGCAUGAUAAUUAAUUGAAAGGUGCAAUUGCACCACUACCAGAUGGACCUGCGUUGUAUUAGCUAGUAGGUGAGGUAACGGCUCACCUAGGCGACGAUACAUAGCUGACCUGAGAGGGUGAUCGGCCACACUGGGACUGAGACACGGCCCAGACUCCUACGGGAGGCAGCAGUAGGGAAUCUUCGGCAAUGGACGAAAGUCUGACCGAGCAACGCCGCGUGAGUGAAGAAGGGUUUCGGAUCGUAAAGCUCUGUUGUAAGAGAAGAACGGGUGUGAGAGUGGAAAGUUCACACUGUGACGGUAUCUUACCAGAAAGGGACGGCUAACUACGUG